AGUGCCGACGCUAACGCAUUAAGCACUCCGCCUGGGGAGUACGNCCGCAAGGUUGAAACUCAAAGGAAUUGNCGGGGGCCCGCACAAGCGGUGGAGCAUGUGNNNNANUUCGAAGCAACGCGAAGAACCUUANCNNNUCUUGACAUCCCGAUGCCCGCUCUAGAGAUAGAGUUUUUNUUCGGAACAUCGGAGACAGGUGGUGCAUGGUUGUCGUCAGCUCGUGUCGUGAGAUGUUGGGUUAAGUCCCGCAACGAGCGCAACCCUUAUUGUUAGUUGCCAUCAUUAAGUUGGGCACUCUAGGGAGACUGCCGGUAAUAAACCGGAGGAAGGUGGGGAUGACGUCAAAUCAUCAUGCCCCUUAUGACCUGGGCUACACACGUGCUACAAUGGUUGGUACAACGAGUCGCAAGCCGGUGACGGCAAGCUAAUCUCUGAAAGCCAAUCUCAGUUCGGAUUGUAGGCUGCAACUCGCCUACAUGAAGUCGGAAUCGCUAGUAAUCGCGGAUCAGCACGCCGCGGUGAAUACGUUCCCGGGCCUUGUACACACCGCCCGUCACACCACGAGAGUUUGUAACACCCAAAGUCGGUGAGGUAACCAUUUA
rnacentral:rRNA from 1 species